AUACUGUGGUGAGCACAUUUUCUGAUCAAGUCCUUGAACCUCUCCCAAGCAUUAUACAAAUAUUAUCCCUCAAUUUUAGAGAAGUUAUUGAUCUCCCUUCUCAGUUU